AACGAACGCUGGCGGCAGGCUUAACACAUGCAAGUCGAACGCCCCGCAAGGGGAGUGGCAGACGGGUGAGUAACGCGUGGGAAUCUACCCAUCCCUACGGAACAACUCCGGGAAACUGGAGCUAAUACCGUAUACGCCCUUUGGGGGAAAGAUUUAUCGGGGAUGGAUGAGCCCGCGUUGGAUUAGCUAGUUGGUGGGGUAAAGGCCUACCAAGGCGACGAUCCAUAGCUGGUCUGAGAGGAUGAUCAGCCACAUUGGGACUGAGACACGGCCCAAACUCCUACGGGAGGCAGCAGUGGGGAAUAUUGGACAAGGGGCGCAAGCCUGAUCCAGCCAUGCCGCGUGAGUGAUGAAGGCCUUAGGGUUGUAAAGCUCUUUCACCGAUGAAGAUAAUGACGGUAGUCGGAGAAGAAGCCCCGGCUAACUUCGUGCCAGCAGCCGCCGUAAAAC
rnacentral:rRNA from 1 species